AUUGAACGCUGGCGGCAGGCCUAACACAUGCAAGUCGAACGAGUGGCGGACGGGUGAGUAAUGUCUGGGAAACUGCCUGAUGGAGGGGGAUAACUACUGGAAACGGUAGCUAAUACCGCAUACCAUCAGAUGUGCCCAGAUGGGAUUAGCUAGUUGGUGGGGUAACGGCUCACCAAGGCGACGAUCCCUAGCUGGUCUGAGAGGAUGACCGCCCACACGUGAACGGUGACACGGUCCAGACUCCUACGGAAGUCAGCAGUGGGGAAAAUUGCACAAUGGGCGCCUGCCUGAUGCAGCCAUGCCGCGUGUAUGAAGAAGGCCUUCGGCUUGUAAAGUACUUUCAGCGGAGAGGCGUUACCCGCAGAAGAAGCACCGGCUAACUCCGUGCCAGCGGCCGCGGUAAUAC
rnacentral:rRNA from 1 species